rnacentral:lncRNA from 1 species
GGCCUCGAUUUUCGACCACUCGCUGGGGAUCCCUGACUCUUGGUGCUCGAGAUCGGCUGUCGAACCCUUUCGACGGGCCAGGCAUCGACCUCUCGAGACUAUCGUGAGCGCAUACCUUGGCUUACAAAGUAAGGAAGCUGCCGUGCCGGUUCGUCUUUCUGCCCGUUGGGCGCACCUUUUGAGGUAAGUGACGUUGCGACACUGUAUCGGCGGGGAAUUCGGGGCGUCCGGCCUGUGAGGAGAGAAAGGACCGUUAGACGGCGCAUUUAUGGGGGGAGUUACCU